AUUGAACGCUGGCGGCAGGCCUAACACAUGCAAGUCGAACGAGUGGCGGACGGGUGAGUAAUGUCUGGGAAACUGCCUGAUGGAGGGGGAUAACUACUGGAAACGGUAGCUAAUACCGCAUACCAUCGGAUGUGCCCAGAUGGGAUUAGCUAGUAGGUGGGGUAAAGGCUCACCUAGGCGACGGGACCUAGCUGGUUUGAGAGGAUGACCAGCCACACUGGAACUGAUACACGGUCAGGAUCCCUACGGGAGGCAGCAGUGGGGAAUAUUGUACAAUGGGCGCAAGCCUGAGGCAGCCAUGCCGCGGGUAUGAAGAAGGCCGUCGGGUUGUUAAGUACUUUCAGCGAGGAGGCGUUACCCGCAGAAGAAGCACCGACUAACUCCGUGCCAGCAGCCGCGGUAAUAC
rnacentral:rRNA from 1 species